GACGAACGCUGGCGGCGUGCUUAACACAUGCAAGUCGAACGGAAAGGCCCUGCUUGCAGGGUGCUCGAGUGGCGAACGGGUGAGUAACACGUGGGUGAUCUGCCCCUUACUUUGGGAUAAGCCUGGGAAACUGGGUCUAAUACUGGAUAGGACCAUGCUGUAUGUGGUGUGGUGGAAAGAUUAGUUUCGGUAAGGGAUGAGCUCGCGGCCUAUCAGCUUUUUGGUGGGGUAAUGGCCUACCAAGGCGUCGACGGGUAGCCGGCCUGAGAGGGUGGACGGCCACAUUGGGACUGAGAUACGGCCCAGACUCCUACGGGAGGCAGCAGUGGGGAAUAUUGCACAAUGGGCGCAAGCCUGAUGCAGCGACGCCGCGUGGGGGAUGACGGCCUUCGGGUUGUAAACUCCUUUCAGCCAUGACGAAGCCCUUGUGGUGACGGUAGUGGUAGAAGAAGCACCGGCUAACUACGUG
rnacentral:rRNA from 1 species